UAUGGUAAUUCCAGCCGCCGCGGUAAUACGUAGGUGGCAAGCGUUGUCCGGAAUUAUUGGGCGUAAAGGGCGCGCAGGCGGCGUCGUAAGUCGGUCUUAAAAGUGCGGGGCUUAACCCCGUGAGGGGACCGAAACUGCGAUGCUAGAGUAUCGGAGAGGAAAGCGGAAUUCCUAGUGUAGCGGUGAAAUGCGUAGAUAUUAGGAGGAACACCAGUGGCGAAAGCGGCUUUCUGGACGACAACUGACGCUGAGGCGCGAAAGCCAGGGGAGCAAACGGG
rnacentral:rRNA from 1 species